GCCUGGGUGGCUCAGUCAGUGGAGCGUCUGACCUCAACUCAGGUCAUGAUCUCCCAGUUUGUGGGUUCGAGCCCCAUGUCGGGCU
rnacentral:tRNA from 1 species